CUGGAGCGGCGGGCAGUGAGCAGAAGUCGGCUGACAGGACGCAUCGGCAGGACACUUCGCAGGCAGGCGAAUCGGAGCAGUUGAGGCAGGGAAAAAAGCGAGAAAUAGCCUGUGCUAAUUUCGACUGGGUAGCAUACUUUUUGGCGCGCACUCCUGCCUUAAUCCCGCCGUCUAAGUGAAUGUGAAAUGUGACAAGCCCAGUGACAGUUAGCCAAAGCCAACAAAAAUGGAGAUUUGAGAUUGGGCAGGAGAACGAGAAAGCAACCAAAACAGAUGGAAACAACUUGCAGAUGCUGUGCGGUUCGAGGCCCCAGGAGACAUUUAACAUAAUAAAAGCGAACGUGUGCGGCAUUUUGGUGUUGCCUUUUGGCCAAGUUAACUCCUGUUUGUGUGUGGGUUUGUUUAAUGCUAAUAUCGCAGACACUCGCCCACGCACACACUCACACAGAAACUUACAAACAAACAAUAUUGCAAAUGUGUGUGCGUCAGGCAGUUGGCAAAAGUGUCGUAAAUCGUUUAGACAGCGCAACGUGGCCCAGAAAAAAAAAAAUGGAGAAAGGAGGAAGAGGGCCAAAAACGAUAUGUAAACGACACAGUAGUCGCCGUGGGAAAAACUCGGAAAACACCCAAACAAAAAGCCAGGAAAAUGGAGGAUCUGCCGAUGAAGUGCAUUUGUUGCUCAUAACUGGCGAACAUUUUAAAAUGAUGAGUUAUUGAUCUCGCUGUUUGCUUAUACAUUUUGUAUAAAAAAUACUUCCAAAAUGAUGAUGAUGUGUGGCCCAUCAAUAUUGUGAUAUUAUACAUAUAGCCAUAAAUAAAGCAAUUUUGUUGAAGAAAGAAAAUAAAAUAUACAGUCUAUAAAAAAUA